CAUUGACACUCAACGAGUUUCUUACUCUUCUUAAUUGUGAUUUUUUUGUUUUCAGGAAAACACCGAUGCUAUUGGAACAGAUUAUCCAUCGACAAGUCGAGGUGGAAUUUAAAUAAAUCCCAAAUAUAUAUAUCCAUUUUAU